UGUUCCGUGAUGGCACAAAGCUACCUUCGU
rnacentral:piRNA from 1 species